rnacentral:lncRNA from 1 species
CACAGCCAAGAAAUAAAAAUAAAAAAUAAAAUUAUCACUGUGUACACAGAUCUCUAGAACUCUUUAUCCAAAGCCCAGAGAUGAGUAGUGUUUUGAGUCUAUAGUAGGGGAAAUACAGCUCCAGCUGUCUUAGGCUUUCUCUGACUUUGGAAGUGUAUUAUCAGUUACAUGAGUGGGAGGGAAGCUUUUAAUGCACCACUGUUAGUAGUUGUUGGGAAAUCACCAGUUGAUAAAUGUAAAUGAUGGUUUCUCUGCCCUAGGAGUAGUGUUAAAAUUCUCAUCUCUCAACUCCCUUCACAAGAAAACAAAUCUUAUUGCAUAUCUGUUUAGUUUGUUUGUGUGUUUGUUUGUUUUGGGGGGGAGGGAUUUUUUUAGGGCAUAUGGGAGUACCCAGGCUAGGGCUCGAAUCAGAGCUGUAGCCGCUGGCUUACACCACAGGCACAGCAAUGCAGGAUCUGAGCAUGUCUACAACCUACACUACAGCUCACAGCAAUGCUGGAUCCUUAACCCACUGAGCAAGGCCAGGGAUCGAACCCGUGGAUACUAGUCAGGCUCAUUUCCACUGAGCCAUAAUGGAAACUCUGCAUAUCUUUUUAACUGAAGCCUUUCUCCAGCAAAGCUUGUCCACUUGGUUUCAAUCAUUGGUCACAAUGAGUUUCAGCACACUUUAGUAUACUUCCUGUAUUCUUUAGGAAAAAGGAUGAGUCCUGCCAUGUGUGGUGUAGUUGGGCUUACAGAGAUGGAGCAUGUGUAGAUGUUGCCCUCAGAGAGCAUUCAUUCUGGGGAAGAAAAGACACAUGUGUCAAAGACUCUGAUCAGGUUGGACUGAGGAAAGUCCAAGAGGUGCUGAGCACGGAUUACUGAAGCUGAGCCAUAGGAAGUGGCUUCAGCUCAUCCACACAGGGUUUAAAGGAAGGUGGUCUUUAGACUUUGGGGAUGUAAGAGGAAGACUGUUUUCAUCAGAAGAAACACGGAAUGGGCAGAGUGGGUCUGUUUGGGGGGAAUUGCAGGGGUUUCUGUUUGGUAGAAGAUUUCAGGUAGUCUAUCAUGGAAGAUAGAGUUGAAAGGUUGUUUGGAGUUAGAUCAUGGAGGGCUUGUAAUACCAGGGUAGGAAUUGGGGCUUUAGUCUCUCUUUCCUUAGUUUCAAAUAUUAACUCAAGUGUUUUAGCUUAGGUCUGAUUAUUAAGUAUGAUUAUUCAUAAAGAGUAAAGUGACCCUUUUGGCAGUUUGUUGUGGAACAAAAAAUACUGUUACACAACUGCAAUAUGUGUGGUCUGGGUCAAAUGGCUUUUUUUUUUUUCUUUUGGGCUGAAAAUUUUCCACAGAGGCAGUGCCAAAUAUAUCUCAUAAUCCUGUCACUCUGAUGAAAGUCAGCUCUAUCACUACAUUGUGCAUUUAUUUUGAUUCCUCCCCAGGUUCAGUGAUGUUAGGAUCUACAUUUCACAGCUUUUUUUAAAUUUAAUUUAAUUUUUUUUUGACCAAGUGGGUGGUGCUAAAAUACCCUAAUACCCUAUUUCUCUGGCAAACAAUCUGCUUUGUUUAAAAGCUGAGUCAUUAAGCUCCUUUAUCUUUCUUCUCAAUUUCCUACUUAGCAUUUUCCCUGCAUAUUGGGCACUUACUUUGUAAGCAAUGAGGAGGCUCAUUGAUUUAGUGCCCAGGAAAGAGCAACUCUGGUUUUUUGGGUUUUGUUUUGUUUUUUCUGUUCAAAGGACUUAUUUUAGUCUACCUGUGGUGUGCCUUAGAAAUAUGCUAAGCUGAGGUUUUUAGCUAUUGGAGGCAAAGGGAGAAAUAUCUGAAUUUUAUCAGAUAGGCUUGGAACACUUUUCAAUUGAUAAAAACAUUAGUGAAAGGGCCAUUAUUGUUAGCAUUCUUUGGCUAAUUAACUCAGUUGACUAAAGCUUGAGGUUUAUUGGCAAGGUCAAUUAGUUUUCUCUCUCAUUAGCUCUUGGAACCUCUAGUGCUGGCCACUGAAUUCAAUAAAUAAUUAUAAUAACAGCAAGCACAUACGUAAUUUUAAACACUGACGUACAAACUCAUUUAAUCUUCAAAAUAGUCCUGAAGGGUAGGUACUGUUACUCCUUCCAUCUUUACAGAUCAUGAAAUUGAGGCAUUGAGAAGCUAUGUAACUUGUCCAGGGGCCCAUUACUGGUAAUUGGCUGAGCCAGGAUUUGAACUUAGGCACUUAGAUUUAAGGGUCUUUACUCUUGAUCUCAUUAAAAUCCAAAGACACCAGUAAGGAGGUCCCUAGACUUGAGGAAACACAAUAUGUGUCUAAAUAUUGAAGGCUAUUUAUUCUGUGUCAUAUGAAGCUUUGAAUUUAAGAAAUUUCAGACCAGUGUUAUGAUAGACAUCAGAAAUCUAUUUAAUGUCUCUUUUGUUGCCCAUGCAUAGUUGCGGACAAGGCUUCACAGAGGUGACAUCUGAGACUUGAGCCAGGACUUAAAGGAUGCUCAAGUGCUCCACAGGCAGAGAAGAGCAUUGAAGAUAGAGGGAACAGAUGCAAAGGCUCAGAGAGGUGAAAUGGCAUUUGACAUGCAUAUUUGAAGGACAAUAUGAUGUUCCCUAUACCUAAAGGAGGACACGAGGAGAGAAAACUAAGAUGCACUUGACGAUUGCAGAUUGUACCCUGCUGAGCAGUUUAAAAAUUGUCCUCUUAGUCACCUUUUUAAAAUCAAGGGCUCACAAAUUUUGGUAUCUAAUUUCAGAGGGUUCCCAGGUGCUCUAAAGCUCAACUGUAGGUCUGUAGACCCCUCUCCCUCAAGCAGCAGAGAAUAAUUGAGAAUAGAGAACACUACGAUCCAAUGUGUGUUUUAAGAAAGAUGACUCUGAUGACCCUGAGAGAUGGCCUGGAGGAGAGAAUGAUUGGAAACAGAGAAAUCAGGAGGCAGAUAUAAAUAAUCUAGGCCAGUGAUCGCUGAGAUGGCAAAAAGAGAGCAAUGACUAUGAAAGAUAUAUCGGAGAUAGGCGCGAGAGGACCCAGAGUGACUUAAAUGGGAAAGUUGCACAUAAAAUAAUUGAAACGAGGUGUCUUUUCUAAUUUAGUUUAAGGAUAGAUGGUGAUGUCAUUAACUAAGACAGAGGACGAAGAAAGGAGAGGAGCAAAGGUGGAGAGAUGAUGGCCUGAUUUUUAGAACCACAGAGCUUUGGGUGCCCAUGAACUCUUCCAGUGGUUGAAAAUGCAAUCUGGAAAAGAACUCAGCCUUGGAGAGAGAGAGAGAGAGAGAGAGAGAUUUGGCUGUCUCUGCAAAUGGGAGGUUUAAGCCCUCUGGGUGAGUCAGGGCCACCAGGGAGCCUAGAAGGAGAAGACAAGGGCAGAGGAGGCAUAUCCGGUAAAGCUGGAUGGGAAGGCGAGACUCAGGGGAGCAGCAGCGUUAUACUGCAUUUUACACAUGAGGAACCUGAGGCACAGAGAGGUCAGUCAUUUGCGCCAAGUCACAGAGCUGGUAAAAAUCACUUUCAAUGGUAAAUUAGUGGUAACCUCAUGAUAGUAUUAUGAUAGUCUUUGUUAUAACUCUUUUAUAGAUUUUGUUAUAACUCUUUUUGUUAUAAAUUUUAUAGAUUUAAAUAUAGAUUGGUAAGCUUUAAUGACAGUAGUUCCUUAUUCACUGAACGACCCCCCCAUCAAGUAAGUAUAGUAUGCUUAUCAGAAUUCAUGAAGAAAAUAUGAUCUGAGACUUUCAUACAUUUCCAAAUUCCCUGGCUUUUUCUCGCAUGAGUAUUCUGUCAAGAUUCAUGCAUUUCUUCAACAUAUUUUCAUUUAAUAGGUUACAUUUUCCCUGAAGUUUUCUCCCAACUAAUAAGCAUUUUUGGCAUUAAUUGGAGCACUUCCUGAAAUGGUUGCAUGAGUCAUAUUUUCGUAUUUCCUCUUGGAAUAUCUGUUGGAUUCUCUUAACAGUGAUCUAAGACAUCCCCAAACUCUAUAUUCUUGUUUUAAUUUACCCCAGACUUUUCUUGUCUCCUUGAAUCCAUCCAUUUCUUAGAACCUCUUCAUUUUGUUUUCCCUUUUAUUACUACACCAGCAGAGAUUUUCCUUGAAGCCCAUUUUCUCAGUUAUUUUGUUAUUACUUCAUCAGAGUUAUACACACCAAGGAGGAAAGAACAAUGAAACCACACCAGGUUGCCACAGUUGGGCUGUCUCUUAGGCUGGGGUCAGCAAACUACAGUCCAUGGGCCAAAUGGAAGCCACCACAUUUUUGUAAAGUUUUAUUGGGGCACAGACAGACUCAUUCAUUUACACAUUGUCUGUGGCUGCUUUCCUGCUAAAAGGGCAGAGUUGAGUAGUUGCAUUAAGUGGAAUACAGCAUGACCCACAUAACCUAAAAUGUUUACUGAUUUGACCCCUCACAAAGAAAGUGCUGACUCUUGCUUUAUAGCCUACAGCUUUGGGAAUAUUAGGAUAUUGCCAAAGCACAUUUAUAAUGCUUUAGUUAAGGAGGGUUUUUUUAAAAAGCAAAAUUUUAAAUAAAAUCUUACUCAACUGAAUAAUAGAACUGUUGAGUGGUUUCUGCAAUAUUUGUUCUUUGGAUCUAAACAGAAAUUGUCAAGGGAGGAGUUCCUGUCAUGGCUUGGUGGUUAACGAACUCAAGUAGUAUCCAUGAGGACAAGGGUUCAAUCCCUGGCCUCCCUCAGUGGGUUAAGGAUCCGGCAUUGCCGUGAGCUGUGGUGUAGGUCACAGAUGCAGUUCGGAUCCUGCGUGGCUGUGGCUGUGGUGUAGGCCAGCAGCUACAGCUCUGAUUCAACCCCUAGCCUGGGAACUUCCAUAUGCUGCGGGUUCAGCCCUAAAAAGACAAAAAAG